rnacentral:rRNA from 1 species
AGAGUUUGAUUCCGAACUGGCCCUAAUACAUGCAAGUCGAGGGACACCAUGGUGUCUCAUGACUCCUGGCCACCGGCCCACGGAUGCGUAACACGUAUGCAAACUACCUUUAACAGGGGAAUACCCCUCCCAAAUGAUGAUUAACGACGCAUAACAUCUCGACACGGCAUCACCCUGCGAUCAAACCUCCAGGGGUUAAGGAUGGGCGUGCCUCCGAUUAGCUUCUUGGCCGGGUAACAGCCCACCAUCGCCACCAUCGGUACGGGGUCUGAGACGAUGAUCCCCCACACUGGUACUGAGACACAGACCAGGCUCCGACGGGAGGCACCGAUAAGGAAUAUUGGCCGAUGGUCGCAAGACUGAUCCAUCCAUGCCGCGUGCACGAUGAACGAUUAUGAUCUGUAAACUGCUUUUGUUCCGGAAUAAACCCCUUCACGUGUGGAGGGCUGAAUGUACCGAACGAAUAAUGGUCGGCUAACUUCGUGCCAGCACCCACGUUAACACCAAUGACCCUCGCAUUAUCCAGAUUUAUUGUGUUUAAAGGAUGCGUAUGCGGGUUGUUAACUCAUUGGUGAAAGCCUAGAGCUUAACUCUCCAAUUGCCAUUGAUACUGACGAUCUUGAUGAUAGUUCACGUGGGCGGAAUGUAUCAUGUAUCGCUGAAAUGCUUACAUAUGAUACAAAACACCGAUUGCCAACGCAGCUCACUAACCUACUUCUUACACUCAUGCACGAAAACUUGUGGAUCAAACAGGAUUAUAUACCCUGGUAGUCCACGCCCUAAACUAUGAUUACUCGAUGUGUGCGAUAUAUGUACGCGUCUAAGCGAAAGCAUUAAGUAAUCCACCUGGGGAGUACGACCGCAAGGUUGAAACUCAAAGGAAUUGACGGGGGCCCGCACAAGCGGAGGAGCAUGUGGUUUAAUUGGAUGAUACGCGAGGAACCUUACCAGGGCUUGAAAGUCAGGGUAUGAUCCAGAAAUGGGUCAGCUGGCAAUGGCCAGAAAAUCGCUGGUGCAUGGCGGUCGUCAUCUCGUGCCGUGAGGUGAUGGGUUAAGUCCUGCAACGAGCGCAACCCCUAUUGCUAGUAGCCAACAGGUAAUGGUGGGGAAUUUAAGAAGACCGCCCGCGCAAGCGCGAGGAAGGUGGGGAAGAAGUCAAGUCAUCACGGCCCUUACGUCGUGGGGUACACACGUGGUACAAUGGCAGAUACAGAGGGCAGGUACUCGGCAGCAGGAUGGUAAUCCACAAAGUGCGUUUCAGUUUGGAAUGAGGUUUGCAACUUGACGUCCUGAAGGGGGAUUUGGUAGUAAUUGGGCAUCAGCCAUGGCGCGGUGAAUACGUUCCCGGGCCUUGUACACACCCCGUC